AACGAACGCUGGCGGCAUGCCUAACACAUGCAAGUCGAACGAGACCUUCGGGUCUAGUGGCGCACGGGUGCGUAACGCGUGGGAACCUGCCCUUAGGUUCGGAAUAACUCCCCGAAAGGGGUGCUAAUACCGGAUAAUGUCUUCGGACCAAAGAUUUAUCGCCUUUGGAUGGGCCCGCGUUGGAUUAGCUAGUUGGUAGGGUAAAAGCCUACCAAGGCGACGAUCCAUAGCUGGUCUGAGAGGAUGAUCAGCCACACUGGGACUGAGACACGGCCCAGACUCCUGCGGGAGGCAGCAGUGGGGAAUAUUGGACAGUGGGCGAAAGCCUGAUCCAGCAAGGCCGCGUGAGUGAUGAAGGCCUUAGGGUUGUAAAGCUCUUUUACCCGGGAUGAUAAUGACAGUACCGGGAGAAUAAGCUCCGGCUAACUCCGUG
rnacentral:rRNA from 1 species